rnacentral:tRNA from 1 species
GGCUUGGUAGCUCAGUUGGUAGAGCACUUGAUUGAAGCUCAAGGUGUCGGCAGUUCUAUUCUGUCCCAAGCCA